CACCUUCUUUCAAUCUGCCAGAAUAGCAGUACCCUGCAUCUGUUCAAAUAUAUUCCCGCCAAAAUCUUUUUUUUAAGAACCCCAAAAUGGAGUGAGGGAUGGAAUAGCCCGUCCGCUCAUUAUUUUGUCCACCAUUUAGGCCUAAUUUCUGACAAAUUUUGUUUCACUGAUUUCUGAUCCCACACUUCUCUUGUUUACCAGGCAUGAUCUUAACACAGUCUUUGAGUUCUAUCAGGAGACAUUUUUGUUUGGACUAAUUCAGUCUGUCUCCCUCCCCUUUUCACCCUUUCCCCUCCACAUUCAUUGUUAUAGCUUAUUGUGACAUUUUGUGAGCUGUCACUCCUGUCUCACAGCUGAGCUCAUAAUUAGGGUAAAUUUGCAGGACCAAUUACUACAACAACACCCCAAAACAGAGAGACACAACGCUGGCUCAGGGUCUAACUGAUCACCAUAUUUGGGGUCAGGAAGGACUUUUCCCCUGGGUCAGAUUGGCAGAGACCCAGGGAUUUUUUUGUUUUUUGGUGGGUUUUUUCCCUUUCCUCUGCAGCAUGGGGCAUGGGUCACUUGCAGGUUUAAACUAGUGUAAAUGGCGGAGUCUUUGUGACCUGAACUCUUUAAAAUCAUGAUCUGAGGACUUCAGUGACUCAGCCAGAGGUUCUGGGUCUGUUACAGGGGUGGGUGGGCGAGGCUCUGUGGCCUGUGAUGUGCAGGAGGUCAGACGAGAUGAUCCCGAUGGUCCCUUCUGGCCGUAAAGUCUGUGAGUUUAAGGCAGAGCAGCAGAACUCUUCCCCUCCUUGUCUAGGCCGGCUCUUUGCACACUGGCUGCUGGAGAUGUAAACAGCGAAGGGACAAAAUUUGCAGAUGUUACAAAAUUACUCAAGAGAGUUAAGUCCAAAGCUCCCUGCAAAGAAUUACAAAGGGAUCUCACAAAACGGGCUGACUGGGCAACAAAAUGUCAGAUGAAAUUCGGUGUUGAUAAGUGCAAAGUAAUGCACAUUGGAAAGCAUAAUCCUAACUACACAUACAAAAUGAUGGAGUUUGUAUUCGCUGUUACCCCUCAGGAAAGAGAUCGUGGAGUCAUUGUGGAUAGUUCUCUGAAAACAUCCACUCAGUGUGCAGCGGCAGCCAAAAAAGUGAACAGAAUCAUUGGGAAAGGGAUCGGUAAUAAGACAGAAAAUAUUAUACUGCCACUAUAUAAAUCUCUGGUACGCCCGCAUCUUGAAUACUGUGUGCAGAUCUGGUCACCCCAUCUCAAAAAAUAUAUUAGACUGGGAAAAGGACAACAAACAAUGACUAGGGGUGCGGCACAGCUUUCCUAGGAGGAGAGACGAAUAAGGCUGGGACUGUUCAGUUUAGAGAAGAGAUGAGGACGCGGGGAGGGGAUAGAAUUCUAUAAAAUCAUCAGUGGUUUAGAGACAGCGAUUAAGGAAGGGUUAUUUACCCUUUCACACACCACAAGAACCAGGGGUUACCGGGUAAAAUUAUUAGGCAGCAGGUUUAACCCAAACAAAAGGAAGCACUUCUUCGAACAAUACAGAG